CCUACGGGAGGCAGCAGUGGGGAAUAUUGCGCAAUGGGCGAAAGCCUGACGCAGCGACGCCGCGUGAGGGAUGAAGGUCUUCGGAUCGUAAACCUCUGUCAGCAGGGAAGAACGGUCACUGUGCUAAUCAGCAGUGAAUUGACGGUACCUGCAAAGGAAGCACCGGCUAACUCCGUGCCAGCAGCCGCGGUGAUACGGAGGGUGCGAGCGUUAAUCGGAAUUAGUGGGCGUAAAGCGCUCGUAGGCCGUAUGUCAAGUCAAGGGGGAAAUCCCCGGGCUCAACGUGGGAACUGCCUUUGAAACUGGCAAACUAGAGUGAGAGAGAGGUAAGUGGAAUUCCAGGUGUAGCAGUGAAAUCCGUAGAUAUCUGGAGGAACAUCAGUGGCGAAGGCGACUAUCUGGCACAUAACUGACGCUGAGGAGCGAAAGCGUGGGUAGCAAACAGGAUUAGAUACCCUUGUAGUC
rnacentral:rRNA from 1 species